GCCUCUGAGAGUGGGAGUAGCUUCUGGAAACGGAUGGUAAUACCGCAUAACAUAGCGAAACCGCAUGAUUUUGCUAUCAAAGUAUUUCGCUCAGAGAUGGCCUCGCGUCUGAUUAGAUAGUUGGUGAGGUAACGGCUCACCAAGUCGACGAUCAGUAGCCGGACUGAGAGGUUGAACGGCCACAUUGGGACUGAGACACGGCCCAG
rnacentral:rRNA from 1 species